AAACAGCAAUUGGACAAACCCAGGGUAAAGGGCCAUUUGCAGUUGGAGAAAAAGAGAUACUUCCCCUCCCCUAAAGCAUCCAGGUGACUGUGACUGGCACCGUGCGGCAGCUCAGCGUCCAUGGCAUGUCUUCCCAUCUGCUCCUGACGGCCCUGACAGACAGGUGGGUGCCCCCUGCCACGUUGGGGGUGCUGCACCAAGCACCCGGCUCAGCGUCUCUACUGGUUCGCCCAGUGCUGCUUUGUUAUGGCGCCAGAGCUGGGACGGGGCCAGCCACCCCCACCGGUAUGCUGACUCCUCCACUGGCACAGUCACUCCAGGAACACCGAAGCCUCAGAGCCUCAGGUGCCUUUUUCUUCCAAAUAUGGCUAGCAUCUCCCAACCCGCUCAACCCAAGCCCAGAUCACAUGCAGCUCCCAGGCCGGCACUGUUCUGACAGCAUAUGGCCAUUCGGGACGGAUCCCCCCGCAGCUGCUGCCCUCGCUGUCAGCAAGGCGGACACAUACCCAGGGCUCGAAUCUUGUGGGCUCAGGUCCUGUGGGCUGCCCCAGCCCCUGGCCACAGUUCCCCUGCACAACGGGAACGACAGGAUGAAUAUCAUGUUUUCAGAGAGCAGAUUUUUGCUUCUUUCUAAAAAUGUAUUUAGUUAUUUUGGUACUAAAAAUGCAAGGAAAGAGCCCUAUAUCUGGAUCCAAACACAUUGCUUCUCUCUGAGUCUUCGAGAUUUACAGCAUAUAAAUUACAAGCAGCCUGAGAAAGGGGAAUUACCCCCAGCUGUCAGCUCAGACAAUUGAGACCCAGGUAGGCGGCUGAUCCAAGAUCACCGUAUACUAUAUGGCUGAGCUCCCUCUGUAAAUACGCAAUUACUAGGAUGGCUGUACUGAUGGGGUACAAGGGCUGUGAAAAACUCAAGAAGCUGUGACCGCAUCCACGGGGCUACCCUGCAUGGCCGCACUAGCUAAUCCCUGGCUCCCCACGAAACUGAAGGCUUCUCAUUCUCAGGGCACGUGAAAUAAGAAGUGUCAGAUGGAUAUGAAAAGUAACAGGAACAAUACUGCCAAAAAUCAUCUAACAUGUACCCCAACCUCCCUGUCCAGCUAUUUUCUGUUCCUGUCUAGCAGACCAGGUCUCGAAGGACGUCGGGGAGGCUGUGUCAAAAAAAGACUCACGCGGGAAUGCUAUUCAUGAUCCACGGCAGAGCGUCGGCCUCCAGGAGGCUCAGGACCCAGGUCCCAUCUGCACCUUGCCCCAGUGUGGACCUCGCAUUCCUAACCAAACCCACGUCUCCAGGGGCCAGCCGGAGAGCCCUUUCCUGGCUGAAGACGGCAUUAGCCCGCAUCCCACUGUGCUGCAAGCCAAAGCGGUGUCCACGUGGCAGCUCAGGAGCCACUUUCCCUCUGAGAUGACAGAGGAUGCAGCCUAGGCACAUCCUGAAACCGGUCUCGUCAGUGUGUGCAAAUAUGAUUCAUGAAAUGUCAGCAAAAUGUCUUAAAGUUCCUAACCUGGGGAACUGAUACAUCCCUCCUAACGAUGGUCUAGAGAAGUAUUUUUAGAAGCUCUUAAUGAUAACAUUUCUUUCUGGAUUUGUGUAGAUUUAGUCAUUAGAACGUCUUCAGAGGCUUCAAAGAGAUGAAAUUAGACCCCUUGCCCCAACUGAAGACACUUUCCUGUGACAUUUUGUGUGAGGGUCAAAGGAAUUUUUUUUUUGAGACAGGGUCUUACUCUGUUGCCCAGGCUGGAGUAUAGCAGUGCGAUCUUGGCUCACUGCAGCCUCAGCUUCGUGGGCUCAAGUGAUCCUCCCACUUCAGCCUCCCGAAUAUCCUACAGGCAUGCACUACCGUGCCCAGCUAACUUAUAUAUUUUUUGUAGAGAUGGGGUUUUGCCAUGUUGCCCAGCCUGGUCUUGAACUCUUGAGCUCAAGCGAUCCACCUAUCUUGGUCUCCAAAAGUGCUGGAAUUACAGGUGUGAGCCGCUGUGCCCGGCCCAGAGGAAUUUUUAAUGAUGAGUUGGUCCAUUUUAUUGGGUGAAAACACACCUGUGUUAUCCCAGUUUGUUUAGGGACAGUGGGGUCAAGAGAUGGCCAAGAACAGACAGUAAAAAACAAGACAGCGCAACCUCAUAAUAAACACCACAUAUGACACGGCUGAAAAAUGCAGGUGUGAGGGGAAGUAUGUAGCCUUUUCCUCAUCAUUUCAGGAAUGUCAGUCCAACUUCACACACACACGCUGGCACGUCACACGGCCACUAACAGCAGACACGGGUGGGCUCAUCAGGCACCACAGCCUCCCUCGGAGUGAGCUCGGACAGUGUUCCGCAGCCUGCUUCCCUGCACGUGCCCCCAUGGGCGUGCAUUUAGGAACACCCACAAGGAGAGUUUGGGCCUCCUCCCGCUGCCUGAGCUCACCUGCUCUGUGGGGCAUAGAUGCCCUCAUUUCCCCAGCUCCUCCCAUGCACAUGCAUUUAGGACACUCCCAAGUGUUUGUGAUACCAACAAGGUUGCAAUGGAUACCCUUAGAUGUGCGUGCACAAGCUCCUCUGUAGAGAGGAUUUCUCUAGGGUGCGGAGUUGCCAGGAAGACGUUAUGAGCCCCAGUGCUAACUGGUAACAGGUGAGUGCCCUCCGGAGGGGCUGCCCUAAGACCCCGCGGUCCUGAGAGCCCUGUGUCCCCACGUUCCAACCAGGUCGUACUUAGUGUUUACCUUCUGUCAAUCUGAAGAAAUGGCACCCUGAAGACCAGUGGUUGCCGAGACUGGGGGAGGGAGGGCUGAACAGAGAGCAGAGGAUUUCCAGGGCAGUGAACCCACUCUGCGCGAUGCUGUAGUGGUGGACAAUGCUGAGAUACAUUUGCCCAAACCCACAGAAGCACGGCACCAAGAGUAAGCCCCCAGUGGACCCUGAGUGAUGAGGGACUGUGGACCCUGGGCAAUGAUGACAGGCCCAUGCAGGCUCACUGACUGUAACAAACGCACCACUCCAGGACGGGGCUGAUGGGGGGUUGUGGGGGGUGUGCGUGUGUGGGAGGAGGGGUACAUGGAAAAUUCCGCACUUUUCAUUCAAUUUUGCAGUGAACCUAAAACUGCUCUAAAAAUAAAGUUUAUUAAUAAAACAGUACCUUGUUUUAAUAGGCAAUGUUAGUUGCUAAGGAGGCUAAGUUAUAUGUGUAUGAGUUUAUUGUUUAUUUCUUUCUUUUUCUGUGAGCUGCCUGUUCAUGUCCUUUGAACAUCUUCUAUUGGGUUGGUUACCUUUUUCUUAGUUUAAUAAGAAAUCUUUGUAUUUUAAGAACAUUAAUUCUUAGUCAUAUAUACAGGAAUUUUUUUCCCAAUUUUUCCUCCAUAAAUAUUUGAUACACAUAUUUCAAUGUGAAAAAAGUUAUUAAAUUGUACCAUUUUAUUUAUUAUGGUAACUUCUGGGUUUGUGGCAUGCUUGGAGAGGCUUUCUCCAUUGCAAAGUAAUAAAACUGUUCUACUGCU
rnacentral:misc_RNA from 1 species